CUACAUGGAAAUGUAAGGCAGUGGGAUUGCUAAGUCUAGAGGAGAGGAUUGAAGAAAGAUGUGACACCACUCCACAGAUACAUGGGUUGUACUGGCAAAGGGGAAAGAAGGAGGGAAGUUUUCUUGCUCUCUGCUGUGAAAAGACUUAGCUUAGCAGUUAGGAUAAGUGCUCUAAUGCCAGGGUAGUUGAGUGGUGCAGCAGAGUACCUGGUGAGACUUUAAAUCUCCAUUCCUGGAAACAUUUAAGAAGAACAGGUUAAAAAGACAUUAGUCACUUACCUACUACUCUUCUUGGAGUUUUGGAACCACGUGCACAUUGGGUUUUAGGAAGAUGGAAUGACAACCAGAAUUCUGAGUCUCUGAGCUUUAGAUUUGUGGUACAAAAUGAAGUGAAACAUUUUACAGGUACCAAUUCAUUUGAACAAUUAUACAUUCCCUGCAUCAUUUUCUUGCAAUGCUGUAGGUGCUAGUAUACUGAAAUAUAAAUAUACUUACAUGAAUACACACGUGCUCAAAGCUACAUGCAUGCGAAGGAGUGCUCAGCACUGACAAUGUCCUUUUGAUGCCUCUGAACAUCAACAUCCAAACAGGACUUUUUCCUACUUACAGUUGCUUGCAUGUUCUUCAGAGUCAGUAAACGGAUGGUUAAUUUGAGUCUUCUGUGAUGUAUUGCAAUAAAUCAAUCAUGUGGACCUCGGGAUUUUUAGAGCAGAAGUACUUACAUUAUGGAGAAUCUUUGUGCACAACACAGUAUGAUAUCCUACUGGUGGAUCAUCAUUAACAACAACAACAACAAAAACCACCACCAACAACAAUCAACAUAAAGGAAAAAAUCAGUUUUGAAAUAAAUAUGUCUUUAACUACUGUCA